AUGCAUCUGGUCCACGUAGUAUACAAAUACAGGAUAAAGAUAAAUACCGGAAUCCUCAGUGCAUGUACAGGAAUAAGGAGCCCUCAAAAUAGUGUUCCUCCCUCCAACGUUCUUACCAGAGUGGGAAGACCUACCCAGUAGCUGUCCUGAAAUAGAAUCUGGAUGACAACGUGUCAUAAGAAACCAGAGAUUCUUAGAUGUGUUCCUGACAAAAGACCCACUAUGACUCAGUUCUCUUGGAAAAAUAAAUAACAAUGAAGUGGAAUAAAAAUAGACUCU
rnacentral:lncRNA from 1 species